CCUACGGGCGGCUGCAGUUUCGAAUCAUUCACAAUGGGCGAAAGCCUGAUGGUGCGACGCCGCGUGAGGGAUGAAGGUCUUCGGAUUGUAAACCUCUGUCACUGGGGAGAAAACGCUUUGAGUUAAUAGUUCAAAGCCUGAUUUAACCCGGAGAGGAAGCAGUGGCUAACUCUGUGCCAGCAGCCGCGGUAAUACAGAGACUGCAAGCGUUAUUCGGAUUCGUGGGGCGGCGGUGGGGUGCAGGAGGUGGGAAAUCCCGAGGCUUAACCUCGGAACUGCGUCUGAAACUACUAGACUAGAGUACUGGAGAGGGAAACGGAAUUCACGGUGUAGCAGUGAAAUGCGUAGAUAUCGUGAGGAACACCAGAGGCGAAGGCGGUUUCCUGGACAGUUACUGACGCUCAGGCACGAAAGCAUGGGGAGCAAAAGGGAUUAGAUACCCCAGUAGUC
rnacentral:rRNA from 1 species